AUACGGAGGAUCCGAGCGUUAUCCGGAUUUAUUGGGUUUAAAGGGAGCGUAGGUGGGAUAUUAAGUCAGCUGUGAAAGUUUGGGGCUCAACCUUAAAAUUGCAGUUGAUACUGGUUUCCUUGAGUACGGUACAGGUGGGCGGAAUUCGUGGUGUAGCGGUGAAAUGCUUAGAUAUCACGAAGAACUCCGAUCGCGAAGGCAGCUCACCGGGCCGGAACUGACACUGAUGCUCGAAAGUGCGGGUAUCAAACAGGAUUAGAUACCCUGGUAGUCCGCACAGUAAACGAUGAAUACUCGCUGUUUGCGAUACACGGUAAGCGGCCAAGCGAAAGCGUUAAGUAUUCCACCUGGGGAGUACGCCGGCAACGGUGAAACUCAAAUGAAUUGACGGGG
rnacentral:rRNA from 1 species